rnacentral:rRNA from 1 species
GACAGAGGGGGCAAGCGUUGCUCGGAAUCACUGGGCGUAAAGGGCGCGUAGGCGGGAUGGCAAGUCGGUCGUGAAAUCCUUCGGCUCAACCGAAGAACGUCGGCCGAUACUGCCGUUCUUGAGGGAUGCAGAGGAGAUUGGAAUUCCCGGUGUAGCGGUGAAAUGUGUAGAGAUCGGGAGGAACACCGGUGGCGAAGGCGGGUCGCUGGGCAUCUCCUGACGCUGAGGCGCGAAAGCGUGGGGAGCAAACGGG